AACAAGCGGUGAGUGCUUUGGGGUGGGGUGACUGCGUACCUUUUGUAUAAUGGGUCAGCGACUUAUAUUCUGUAGCAAGGUUAACCGUAUAGGGGAGCCGCAGGGAAACCGAGUCUUAAUUGGGCGUUAAGUUGCAGGGUAUAGACCCGAAACCCGGUGAUCUAGCCAUGGGCAGGUUGAAGGUUGGGUAACACUAACUGGAGGACCGAACCGACUAAUGUUGAAAAAUUAGCGGAUGACCUGUGGCUGGGGGUGAAAGGCCAAUCAAACCGGGAGAUAGCUGGUUCUCCCCGAAAGCUAUUUAGGUAGCGCCUCGUGAAUUCAUCUCCGGGGGUAGAGCACUGUUUCGGCUAGGGGGCCAUCCCGGCUUACCAACCCGAUGCAAACUGCGAAUACCGGAGAAUGUUAUCACGGGAGACACACGGCGGGUGCUAACGUCCGUCGUGAAGAGGGAAACAACCCAGACCGCCAGCUAAGGUCCCAAAGUCAUGGUUAAGUGGGAAACGAUGUGGGAAGGCCCAGACAGCCAGGAUGUUGGCUUAGAAGCAGCCAUCAUUUAAAGAAAGCGUAAUAGCUCACUGGUCGAGUCGGCCUGCGCGGAAGAUGUAACGGGGCUAAACCAUGCACCGAAGCUGCGGCAGCGACACUGUGUGUUGUUGGGUAGGGGAGCGUUCUGUAAGCCUGCGAAGGUGGCCUGUGAGGGUUGCUGGAGGUAUCAGAAGUGCGAAUGCUGACAUAAGUAACGAUAAAGCGGGUGAAAAGCCCGCUCGCCGGAAGACCAAGGGUUCCUGUCCAACGUUAAUCGGGGCAGGGUGAGUCGACCCCUAAGGCGAGGCCGAAAGGCGUAGUCGAUGGGAAACGGGUUAAUAUUCCCGUACUUGGUGUUACUGCGAAGGGGGGACGGAGAAGGCUAUGUUGGCCGGGCGACGGUUGUCCCGGUUUAAGCGUGUAGGUGUGUGUUCCAGGUAAAUCCGGUUCACUUUAACACUGAGGCGUGACGACGAGGCACUACGGUGCUGAAGCAACAAAUGCCCUGCUUCCAGGAAAAGCCUCUAAGCAUCAGGUAACAUCAAAUCGUACCCCAAACCGACACAGGUGGUCAGGUAGAGAAUACCAAGGCGCUUGAGAGAACUCGGGUGAAGGAACUAGGCAAAAUGGUGCCGUAACUUCGGGAGAAGGCACGCUGACAUGUAGGUGAAGUGAUUUACUCAUGGAGCUGAAGUCAGUCGAAGAUACCAGCUGGCUGCAACUGUUUAUUAAAAACACAGCACUGUGCAAACACGAAAGUGGACGUAUACGGUGUGACGCCUGCCCGGUGCCGGAAGGUUAAUUGAUGGGGUCAGCGCAAGCGAAGCUCCUGAUCGAAGCCCCGGUAAACGGCGGCCGUAACUAUAACGGUCCUAAGGUAGCGAAAUUCCUUGUCGGGUAAGUUCCGACCUGCACGAAUGGCGUAAUGAUGGCCAGGCUGUCUCCACCCGAGACUCAGUGAAAUUGAACUCGCUGUGAAGAUGCAGUGUACCCGCGGCAAGACGGAAAGACCCCGUGAACCUUUACUAUAGCUUGACACUGAACAUUGAGCCUUGAUGUGUAGGAUAGGUGGGAGGCUUUGAAGUGUGGACGCCAGUCUGCAUGGAGUCGACCUUGAAAUACCACCCUUUAAUGUUUGAUGUUCUAACGUGGACCCGUGAUCCGGGUUGCGGACAGUGUCUGGUGGGUAGUUUGACUGGGGCGGUCUCCUCCUAAAGAGUAACGGAGGAGCACGAAGGUUGGCUAAUCCUGGUCGGACAUCAGGAGGUUAGUGCAAUGGCAUAAGCCAGCUUGACUGCGAGCGUGACGGCGCGAGCAGGUGCGAAAGCAGGUCAUAGUGAUCCGGUGGUUCUGAAUGGAAGGGCCAUCGCUCAACGGAUAAAAGGUACUCCGGGGAUAACAGGCUGAUACCGCCCAAGAGUUCAUAUCGACGGCGGUGUUUGGCACCUCGAUGUCGGCUCAUCACAUCCUGGGGCUGAAGUAGGUCCCAAGGGUAUGGCUGUUCGCCAUUUAAAGUGGUACGCGAGCUGGGUUUAGAACGUCGUGAGACAGUUCGGUCCCUAUCUGCCGUGGGCGCUGGAGAACUGAGGGGGGCUGCUCCUAGUACGAGAGGACCGGAGUGGACGCAUCACUGGUGUUCGGGUUGUCAUGCCAAUGGCACUGCCCGGUAGCUAAAUGCGGAAGAGAUAAGUGCUGAAAGCAUCUAAGCACGAAACUUGCCCCGA
rnacentral:rRNA from 1 species